rnacentral:misc_RNA from 1 species
GAUGAAGAACGUAGCGAAAUGCGAUACGUAAUGUGAAUUGCAGAAUUCAGUGAAUCAUCGAAUCUUUGAACGCAUAUUGCGCUCUCUGGUAUUCCGGAGAGCAUGCUUGUUUGAGUAUCAGUAAACACCUCAACUUCCAUAUCUUUUUUGAAAUGGGAGUUGGACUUGAGUGAUCCCAACGCUUUUCCUCACCGAAAAGUGGCGGGUUACUUGAAAUGCAGGUGCAGCUGGACUUUUCUCUGAGCUAUAAGCAUAUAUAUUUAGUCUGCCUAAAAAACCGAUUAUUACCUUUGCUGCAGCUAACAUAAAGGAGAUUAGUUCUUGUGCUGACUGAUGCAGGAUUCACAAAGACAGGCUUCGGCCGACUUUGUAAACUCGAUCUCAAAUCAAGUAAGACUACCCGCUGAACUUAAGCAUAUCAAUAAGCGGAGGA